rnacentral:ncRNA from 1 species
UAAUUGAAGAGUUUGAUCAUGGCUCAGAUUGAACGCUGGCGGCAGGCCUAACACAUGCAAGUCGAGCGGCAGCGGAAGGAAGCUUGCUUCCUUGCCGGCGAGCGGCGGACGGGUGAGUAAUGUCUGGGGAUCUGCCCGAUGGAGGGGGAUAACUACUGGAAACGGUAGCU